AUUGAACGCUGGCGGCAGGCCUAACACAUGCAAGUCGAGCGGAUGAAGGGAGCUUGCUCCUGGAUUCAGCGGCGGACGGGUGAGUAAUGCCUAGGAAUCUGCCUGGUAGUGGGGGAUAACGUCCGGAAACGGGCGCUAAUACCGCAUACGUCCUGAGGGAGAAAGUGGGGGAUCUUCGGACCUCACGCUAUCAGAUGAGCCUAGGUCGGAUUAGCUAGUUGGUGGGGUAAAGGCCUACCAAGGCGACGAUCCGUAACUGGUCUGAGAGGAUGAUCAGUCACAUUGGAACUAAGACACGGUCCAGACUACUACGGGAGGCAGCAGUGGGGAAUAUUGGACCAUGGGCGAAAGCCUGAUCCAGCCAUGCCGCGUGUGUGAAGAAGGUCUUCGGAUUGUAAAGCACUUUAAGUUGGGAGGAAGGGCAGUAAGUUAAUACCUUGCUGUUUUGACGUUACCAACAGAAUAAGCACCGGCUAACUUCGUG
rnacentral:rRNA from 1 species